UUUUUUCCUCCUCUGUACAUCGUUUGGCUUACUUGAAAAUUUUGAGUUCGGUCCUUAUUUUACUAAGGUGAGUGGAAGAUAUUUUUAAAAACAUAUAAAGGUACUAAUAACUAGUGAUAAGAAAUAUAGGUUUCAAAUGUAAAAUGACUGAGCCAAAGAUAGAAAUGAGUUAGCAUUUAGCAUCUCUGCUGAAAGCAGAGAGCAGUUAGCCUCAGUCAGACUCUGCUGAACUUAACCAAGUCUACUGCAUGUUCAAUUUUGAAAAAA